GAUGAACGCUGGCGGCGUGCCUAAUACAUGCAAGUCGAGCGAACGGACGAGAAGCUUGCUUCUCUGAUGUUAGCGGCGGACGGGUGAGCAACACGUGGAUAACCUACCUAUAAGACUGGGAUAACUUCGGGAAACCGGAGCUAAUACCGGAUGAUAUUUUGAACCGCAUGGUUCAAAAGUGAAAGACGGUCUUGCUGUCACUUAUAGAUGGAUCCGCGCUGCAUUAGCUAGUUGGUAAGGUAACGGCUUACCAAGGCAACGAUGCAUAGCCGACCUGAGAGGGUGAUCGGCCACACUGGAACUGAGACACGGUCCAGACUCCUACGGGAGGCAGCAGUAGGGAAUCUUCCGCAAUGGGCGAAAGCCUGACGGAGCAACGCCGCGUGAGUGAUGAAGGUCUUCGGAUCGUAAAACUCUGUUAUUAGGGAAGAACAUAUGUGUAAGUAACUGUGCACAUCUUGACGGUACCUAAUCAGAAAGCCACGGCUAACUACGUG
rnacentral:rRNA from 1 species